rnacentral:misc_RNA from 1 species
GAUGAAGAACGUAGCGAAAUGCGAUAAGUAAUGUGAAUUGCAGAAUUCAGUGAAUCAUCGAAUCUUUGAACGAACAUUGCGCCCCUUGGUAUUCCGAGGGGCAUGCCUGUUCGAGCGUCAUUAUAACCCCUCAAGCUUAGCUUGGUGUUGGGGCCUGCUGUAAUAGAGCAGCCCUUAAAAUCAGUGGCGGUGCCAUUAGGCUCUAAGCGUAGUAAUUCUUCUCGCUAUAGGGUUCUGGUGGAUGCUUGCCAUUAACCUCUAAUUUUCUAUGGUUGACCUCGGAUCAGGUAGGGAUACCCGCUGAACUUAAGCAUAUCAAUAAGCGGAGGA